UGGCGCGGCGGAACAAACGCUCCUCUUCCUGGCGUUCCGGCGACGGAAGAGCAAAGGCAUCAAUCACAGUGCGAAUGUUUCUGUUUUUGCUUCCGCUUCUGGGUCGUUCCUUCCUUGGUCCUCCGAAAAUCCGACACGUGCGGAGCAAGAGCUCUGGACGUACAUGAGACUUAAUGUAGAAGAAGUGCAAAUGAAGCUGGCAGCCAUAGGAGUUUCAUUUCGUUGCCGAGCUUUAAAAUCAUUAUGUUCUUAUAAUUAAGUUUCUUAAGUAAAUGUAACAAGGGUCUGCCUCAUUGGAGGACUUUAAGAAAGGGCUUAGAGAGUCAAAUGCAUGGAAGAUAGCGAAGAGGAAGGGGAAGCUGGCAGUCUGCCAGCAGCUGCAGAGGAACAUGAAGGGCAGAGCCCAGCUGUCAGCCCACAGCAGAUACCUGAGGCAGGUCGAGUCGAAGCUUCAGGACAACCAGGACCAUCGGAGGUAGCAGAGACAAGGAAUGGAGAGCAGACCACAGAGGCCCCUUUGCAUCUUCACGAGGGACGACUGAUUAGACACAGACAACAGGUGGAAGAACCUGACAGCUGCCCUAGCUGAGACGCCUCCCCUGGGAAUGCCUCACACUCCUUUUGCUCUGGAACCGUGCUCUCUGAUUGAAGAGGCUUCCGAGGACCUUCCAGUGACCUUGACGGAGACUGCGCCUUCGACACCGAACAGACAGGCUCCUGACAAUGGCUGCGCAGGAACUCCCCCAGGAGUGACUCCAUGAAGGGCAAGCCCAGCCUCCCUGGAGGUUCUGGGGUGGAAACCAUCACAUCCAACCAGCUCCAGCUCCACCUCCAGCAGGGGGCUCCCAGGCUUCGCCAGGAGUCACAGUCGCUCCCCAGCUGGGACUGAGGAAAACACUCUAGAAGUGGAUUGAAUGAGCAGCAUCUCUUUCCCUCAGAAUGUCUCGGUUCUCUGAUGAAGGAUUAUCCGAAAUGGGCUUAAGAAUCCCGGGCUAGCCUAUAGGACUUUUUUCAUCCUGGCAAGACUUCACUCCUAUAAUUAGAAGUAGUUUUUGUCCUAUCUAUUGAGAUGCUAUAUUUUUAUACAUGUAUGUGCAGACACCACCUGCAAGAUCAGUGUCAUUGCUACUCAUUUGAGGAUUUUUCACUACUGCAAGAUUUUCAUUCAUUUAUUUUUUAUACAGAUUUAUUCUCUAUACGGACUAGAACAAUAUUUUUCACAUAUUUAUGUUGGUUUUUGCAAUAUCUAUAUGUUUGGGUUUGAAUGUGCAUUUACUUUUUAUUAUGACUUUUGCCUUAUUCAUUGAGAAGCAAUAUUUUGGUCAUAUGCAUGUGCAGAUACUAUCUGCAAGAUAAUUGCUUUUGUUAUCUAGCUAUUCUAGACUACUAAUUGUUGUUGUUAUCUAUUUACUCUAGACUAUUAACAUAGCAUCUUUAGGUAUUGAUAAAUGGAUAUAUGUGUCUUGUUCAUUUCCUCCAUAUAGAUUUCUGGAUCUUUAAAUGCAGCACAAUUUGUGUUUUUGCAAUUA